AGCGAACGCUGGCGGCAGGCUUAACACAUGCAAGUCGAGCGGGCAUCCUUGUGGUGUCAGCGGCAGACGGGUGAGUAACGCGUGGGAACGUGCCCUUCGGUUCGGAAUAACUCAGGGAAACUUGAGCUAAUACCGGAUACGCCCUUUUGGGGAAAGGUUUACUGCCGAAGGAUCGGCCCGCGUCUGAUUAGCUAGUUGGUGAGAUUAUGGCUCACCAAGGCGACGAUCAGUAGCUGGUCUGAGAGGAUGAUCAGCCACACUGGGACUGAGACACGGCCCAGACUCCUACGGGAGGCAGCAGUGGGGAAUAUUGGACAAUGGGGGCAACCCUGAUCCAGCCAUGCCGCGUGAGUGAUGACGGCCUUAGGGUUGUAAAGCUCUUUUCUCCGGGACGAUAAUGACGGUACCGGAGGAAUAAGCCCCGGCUAACUUCGUG
rnacentral:rRNA from 1 species